AAAUGGACAUUAAGAGAUACCAUGAUCAUGAAGGUGAUUUUCCCAGGGUGAGGCUUAUUCAUUGCACUCCAUUUGUGCUGACUCCAUGAUUUCCCCAAAUAUGGAAAACUCCAUUGCAUAAUUUGUGGUAGUGAAGAAUUGCGUUUGUGCUCUCCCCUG